GGGAAUAUGGUUUAAUAGUGGAGUGCUUGCCUAGCAUGCAUGAAGCCCUGGGUUCAAUUUCCCAGUACCA
rnacentral:tRNA from 1 species